GUUCGAAGAUGAACGCGAAGAUUUCGUUUGCGUGCGAUUUCUCUGUGCUUUUUAAUACGCGAAAAUCGGUGUGAAAGUGCGUGAUAACUAAAUCUGCGGAAUGCCGAAAUCUUUGCUGAUCGAAUCCCCGCCGAUUUAAGUCUCCGCUGCAGUCGAAGCAGAUGCCGUGAAUAAUAAUAAGUAGGAGAAUGGUGAUUUUGGGAGUUUGCUCUUCAACUCUUCGACUUCCCCGACGAGGCCUCCGAUGUCCGGGUUGGAUCCGCACUUGACCGCGAUUUGAU